rnacentral:rRNA from 1 species
GACGAACGCUGGCGGCGUGCUUAACACAUGCAAGUCGAACGGAAAGGCCCUGCUUUUGUGGGGUGCUCGAGUGGCGAACGGGUGAGUAACACGUGAGUAACCUGCCCUUGACUUUGGGAUAACUUCAGGAAACUGGGGCUAAUACCGGAUAGGAGCUCCUGCUGCAUGGUGGGGGUUGGAAAGUUUCGGCGGUUGGGGAUGGACUCGCGGCUUAUCAGCUUGUUGGUGGGGUAGUGGCUUACCAAGGCUUUGACGGGUAGCCGGCCUGAGAGGGUGACCGGCCACAUUGGGACUGAGAUACGGCCCAGACUCCUACGGGAGGCAGCAGUGGGGAAUAUUGCACAAUGGGCGGAAGCCUGAUGCAGCAACGCCGCGUGGGGAUGACGGCCUUCGGGUUGUAAACCGCUUUCGCCUGUGACGAAGCGUGAGUGACGGUAAUGGGUAAAGAAGCACCGGCUAACUACGUG